GAAAUUUGAUUAGGGAUCUUAUAGCGUAUAGACACUAAACCAUGUUUAUCAGUCAUGGGGUGACACACAUUACAGUUAGUUGUACAACAGGCUCCACUAAGACUCCGCCCACUGACAGGGACACUAUAAAGCAGUUAGUUGUUUGUGCAGAGUAGAAGCAAAUCUGUUUUCAAGAUGAGGGGGCUCUUAUCACUCAGUUUGAUGGUCUUCGUUCUAACAGAAUCCACGAAGGAAGAAGAUAUGCCUGCCUUUGGAUCCAGAACAGCAACGGGUGGGGGCGGGUUUAACUCAACAAACAACUCGACAACCAACUCAACAAUGGCAACAGAGGUGCCCGCAGUAAGUGAGGUAGAGGCUGAUGGUGUUCGGGUGGCGAUUAGCAGUUCCGAUGGGUUCAGAAGACCACCUGCGAAUGGAGAGGAUACCAAGAUGCCUCAGGGAGACACGGCGCCGACUCCACCUAAGAAGACAUUACUAGACUUAAGUACCGUUAUCCUUUUGGAAAAUGAAAAAGAUUGUCCUUCGAGGCCAAGUGACGGUAAUGUGGACCAGCCUUCCUUUGGAUCCAGAACACUAACGGGUGGGGGCGGGUUUAACUCAACAAACAACUCAACAACCAACUCAACAAUGGCAACAGAGGUGCCCGCAGUAAGUGAGGUAGGGGCUGAUGGUGUUCGGGUGGCGAUUAACAGUCCUGAUGGGUUCAGAACACCACCUGCGAAUGGAGAGGAUACCAAGAUGCCUCAGGGAGACACAGCGCCGACUCCAACUAAGAAGACAUUACUAGACCCAAUUGUCACUAUCCUCUUUGGAAAUUGAAAAAGAUUUUCCUUCUAAGCCAAGUGACGGUAAUGUGGACCAG
ensembl:lncRNA